rnacentral:rRNA from 1 species
GAUGAACGCUAGCGGGAGGCUUAAUACAUGCAAGUCGAACGGUAACAGGCGUAGCAAUACGUGCUGACGAGUGGCGAACGGGUGCGUAACACGUACGCAAUCUGCCUCUGACUGAGGGAUAGCCCCGGGAAACUGGGAUUAAUACCUCAUAAUAUAUUGAUGUGGCAUCACAUUAAUAUUAAACCUCCGGGGUCAGAGAUGAGCGUGCGUCUGAUUAGGUAGUUGGUAGGGUAACGGCCUACCAAGCCAACGAUCAGUAGCUGGCGUGAGAGCGCGACCAGCCACACGGGCACUGAGACACGGGCCCGACUCCUACGGGAGGCAGCAGUAGGGAAUAUCGGACAAUGGCCGAAAGGCUGAUCCAGCCAUCCCGCGUGCAGGUAGAAGGUCCUAUGGAUUGUAAACUGCUUUUCUCUGGCAGAAACCCCCGAAUUCAUUUGGGCUGACGGUACCAGAGGAAUAAGCACCGGCUAACUCCGUGCCAGCACG